rnacentral:tRNA from 1 species
GUGGCUGUGGCUUAGUGGUAGAGUGCUUGCCUAGCAAGUGUGAGGCACUGAGUUCGAUCCUCAGCAUCACA